CCGAGUUUGGGACCCUUUGGGUACCAUCUCCCACCAUUUGUGAACCUUUUUUCGUUGCCUCGGCGGGUCUGAUGUACCCAUCCUCUGGCUUUUGCUGGGGAGUACCUGCCGAUGGAUUUUCAAACCAGUCUUUAACCUACAAUCUGAGUUAAACAAAAUAAAAACA
rnacentral:misc_RNA from 1 species